GACGAACGCUGGCGGCGUGCCUAAUACAUGCAAGUAGAACGCAGUUGCGAACGGGUGAGUAACGCGUAGGUAACUGCCUCAUAGCGGGGGAUAACUAUUGGAAACGAUAGCUAAUACCGCAAAUUGUUAGAUGGACCUGCGUUGUAUUUGCUAGUUGGUGGGGUAAAGGCUUACCAAGGCGACGAUACAUAGCCGACCUGAGAGGGUGAUCGGCCACACUCGGACUGGGACACGGCCCAGACUCCUACGAGAAGCAGCAGUAGGGAAUCUACGGAAAUGGACGGAUGUCUGACCGAGCUACGCCGCGGGAGUGACGAAUGUUUUCGGAUCGUAAAUCACUGUUGUUAGAGAAGCAAUAACUGACCAAAAAGGGACGGCUAACUGCAUGCCAGCAGCCGCGGUAAUUC
rnacentral:rRNA from 1 species